AAGGUUCUGACAAGCAGUGCUCCCAGCCCUGAGCCGGGGCGCCUCGCACACAGUUGCCCUCCUGCCCCUUCUCCUGUGGCCAGGAGCCCCUGCUUCUCUCUCUGCCAGCCCCUCUGCAUGGGCGCACUCUGGAGCCCUGAGAAGAUAGUGCCUGGGAUUUAUCCCUCCACAAAGCCUCUCACAAGGGAUCAACGCUGCUUUCUGCAUGCAAAACUCAGGCACCUGCACUCGAGUUUGUAAGUUUAAUCCCACUCAUCUUGCUCCAGUUUGUUUCACUGCUGUCUGCUCUCUCUUCUCCUGUCCCAUUAUUUAUCACGGGAAAGCUGGUGAGUUUCCUUUCCUGUUGUGGUGACUGAAGUGAAGAGAGAAAGGUUUUUGAGAGCUCCCACUUGGACUGACUGCACCCAGAAAACCUGGACCGUAUAGCGCUAAAAAGAAUUGCAACUCUGAAGAUGUUCCAGGGCGCACCUAGCUGUCAACCGCAGACAGUUCCUCAUCUGACCGGAAGGGACGCUGUGUGCGAGACUCAAGGCUACCCCGAUCUGUGACCGACCCUACCUCACCUAGUACCUUGCAGUCACAGGUCACAGUGCUUCUCACCUGCUGGAGGCUGAACUGAGACCAACAGAAUGCUGCGGCCAUGGCCACGUCUGAGAGGCAGGUACCCCCCACCCCCAUUCAGUUCUACUUGGUGAGACUCAGUGGAGAGAAAUGCCAGCACCCAUCCUGAAUGAGACUUGGGGAGGCUUGUUGGUCAGGCCUCAGAACGGGAGGAGA